rnacentral:lncRNA from 1 species
GCACAGUCACUUGAGUUUUAGAAUCUGGGCGUAACCACGGCAAUGUACCAUUGCGGCGUAGUUCAGCCAGUUUGGCAUUUAGCUUGUGUGCUAAGACAAUGGUUAAAGGCAUACACUCUUCAGUUUCAUCAGUGCCAUAACCAAACAUCAAACCCUGGUCUCCUGCACCAAUGUCUUCCUCAUUCCGGUCAAGAUGAACACCUUGGGCAAUAUCUGGUGACUGUUGUUCCAAGGCAACCAACACAUUAUAAGUCUUGUAGUCAAACCCUUUGGAAGAGUCAUCAUAUCCAAUGUGCUUUAUGGCUUCACGAACCACUUUCUGGUAAUCAAUGGCAUCUCUGGCAUUAAUAAUAAUAAUCCCCAGCAAGAAGGAUUAUUCCAGUUUUAGCAACAGUUUCACAAGCCACUUUAGCAUCAGGCUCUUGUUGAAGCUGUGCAUCAAGGACAGCAUCACUGAUUUGGUAACAAAUCUUAUCUGGGUGACCUUCCCCUACAGAUUCCAAAGUGAAGAGGAACGUGCCCUCCUCGAUGAACGCCUGUGGAAGCCUUUGAGCAGCCCUUUCAUGGCGGAAGAGAGGGCAACUCUGAGGUGAUGGAGCAGCGGCUAGGCAGAGGGCUGCUGAGGAAGCAGAGGGAGGAUCGCUUCAGCUCUCGGCAGGCUGGAGCCUCAGAGCAAACCUCAAGUAACUUUCUGUGGAUGCUGUGAGACUGACUGAAAAGCCCCCAAAGCAGACAACACCUACAGAACUCAUUGAACAUGGAGAAGUUGAGCUGGUACCCACAUAGAGACUUCACCCCUACAUUCUAAUGUCUUUGGUACAAGAAGGUAGUCUGCACACUCCAAAGGGAGAAACAUAAACACCAAUCAACCACAAACCCUUUGAUCUACAAUGGUGUGAAGCCUGCAGGAGAAGCUAGUGCAGUGGUGGCACAAAGCUUGUGGGAGUGACCAACCAAUAUCUGAUGUAACUUUAGGCCCACUCCACAAGAUGGAACCCUUACCUAAUACUACUUGGGUGAGUAAGAACUUGAGACUAGACAGCCAGCUUGGAUCUAGGGUAAACCAAAUAGAACUGAUCUGCUAAAAGAGCACAGUAAUAAAAUGGCUCCUAAGGACAUUGAGCUACACCCAUAGAUCAGUACCUUUCUCAGCCAUGAUCAGAGAGGCUUUUUCCUGUACAGAUGGGAACAGAUAUAGAAACUCAGCCAGACAUUAUACAGAGAAUAAGAGACCUUGGAACACUCCUUCCUGAAUUUAGGACAUCUCCAUCA